UACGAACUGUGCAAACGUUAUUCGGAAUCACUGGGCUUACAGGGUGCGUAGGCGGCCAGACAAGUAGGGUGUGAAAGCCCCCGCUUAACCGGGGAAUGGCGCCCUAAACUGUAUGGCUGGAGUGAGAUAGGGGUGUGCGGAACUUCCGGUGGAGCGGUGAAAUGUGUUGAUAUCGGAAGGAACGCCGGUGGCGAAAGCGGCACACUGGAUCUCAACUGACGCUGAGGCACGAAAGCCAGGGGAGGACGA
rnacentral:rRNA from 1 species